GGUGAGGGUUUUGAAGAGGCGGAAAUGGAUUGACGAAGGAGGGUUUUCGGUGGUGAUGGUCGGAAUCGAGUGAGUUUUGAGGAAGACGGAGGGUUGACGGUUGAUGAAAACGUUGAAGGUCGCAUGUGGUGGACGAUCGGAGAUGGAGAGCUGUUUGAAGGUUAAGCGGCGGUGAGGUUUAUGGUUUUGUGGUGGAUGAAGGUUUACGGUGGGAAGCGAUGAUGCUGAUGAGCCAUCGUUAGAAGAGAGAUUCGUGAGGGGUUUUUCAGAGAGAGAGCGUGAGAUUUUUUU
rnacentral:lncRNA from 1 species